GUGCUUGCUUCGGCAGCACAUAGACUAAAAUUGGAAUGAUACGGAGAUUAACUUGGCCCCUUCACAAAGGAUGGCGUGCAAAUUUGUGAAGCGUUCCAUAUUAAU